UACCAGCUCUCCGAGUGGUGGGGAUGCUUAUUGGGCCUAAAGCAUUCGUAGCCGGUUGGGCAAGUCCUCCGUUAAAUCCAGCGAUUCAAUCGUUGGACUGCAGGGGAUACUGUCCGGCUAGGGGGCGGAAGAGGCCGACGGUAUUCUCGGGGUAGGGGUGAAAUCCUAUAAUCCCGGGAGGACCACCAGUGGCGAAGGCUGUCGGCUAGAACGCGCCCGACGGUGAGGGAUGAAAGCUGGGGGAGCGAACCGGAUUAGAUACCCGGGUAGUCCCAGCCGUAAACGAUGCAGGCUAGGUGUUGGCGCGGCUACGUGCCGCUCCAGUGCCGCAAGGAAGCCGUUAAGCCUGCCGCCUGGGAAGUACGGCCGCAAGGCUGAAACUUAAGGAAUUGGCGGGGAGCACCACAAGGGGUGAAGCUUGCGGUUU
rnacentral:rRNA from 1 species